CAGCUCCUCCCGCCGGCGGGGCGAGAGGGAGCUCUGAGGCGGUGCUAGCGCGGGGCUGCUGCCGGAGGUUGUGCUGGGCAGGUCCGGAGCCUCGGCCAUGUCUGAGGAAGGAGCCGCCAAGCUGCGCCUCAAGGCCAAGAAAGCGCCGGCAGCCUGGAGCCGGGAGCACAGCCCGGGCCGGGAGUCCCCCAGGCCGCCCCAGCCACUGACUGGCAGAUGUUCCUGGUUUGAAAAAGAAGACUUAAAUGAGUGUGAAAAACCGUGGACUUUGUUACUGAAAAACAUCAGUCAAGAUUUACAGUGCACAAGCUGGCAAACAGUGCUCAGUUUCCCAGAGUUCCCUAGAAAGGUAGCGUGCUGCAUCCUGCACUCUGGGGACUCCUUACAAGAAGACAGCCUCAAUUCUGAGUUCUGAGGAAGAGAGCCCACAGAAACAAGAAGUCUUUACAGUUGGAAUAGAAGACUUUCCAUGGGUACCAUUCCCAUCUUUUUGCAAAGAAAAAAGUCUGAAGCCAAAGGAUCACCUGACACAGAGCCCCAACAACUGUCUGCACAGAGAACAGAGCCAAGCAGAUGAACUGCAGAGUUUGCCUUCUUCAGCUGAGCAAACAAACUGUGUAGAUGUUAGAGAUCAGAUAAGAACUAUAGUUGGGGAAGACAGAAAAUGCAUCUCAAAACUAGAUGCAAGUCCUAAAUCAUGUAAACUCCCUCCACAGAGAAGUUCUACACACCCCUUGGCAUUGUCACAAAGCUCUGCUAUAUCCUUUAGCUUUCAACAGCACUGCAGAGGGAGCAUACAGAACAGCAAGGAAAACAGAGAAGAAAAUUAUAGGAAAGAGCCUCAAACAGAAACACAUGAAGGGAACAUUUUGUGUGGUGAAGCCAGAUGCAUACCUGGGGAAGAGGCACCUCCUCUGGUGAGUGCAUCUGGAACUGAGAGCUGCAAAGAGAAGAUGGAAAAUCAGAGUGAAGGAUCUUCAACUCUUGACAGUUGUCCCAUGUGUCUGAUGCAGUUUAGUGGCACAGCGUCACAAAUGGAUAUUGAUGGCCACCUUGCCAAGUGUUUGUCUGAGAGUGCUGAUGAUGUCAUGUGGUAAAUCCAGGAGAAUGAAGAGCAAAGGAACAAGACCCAGGAUGAGCUUUUCUCACAGGAAAAGGUGUGUCAAGGAAGCACAUUCUUGUCUCAGACUUACUUGAGGAUCACAAAUAGAAGAAGGCUGAGUGCCCUCUGCCAGUGUGGGGUCUCCAUUUUCAGUCCUUUUACAUACAUGUAAAAUCAUUCCAAUGUUGAAAAUGGUGCUAGAGCAGGUCCCAGAGAUGCCCAGGAAAUGGGUCUUGGUCCUUCCAAAAUAAAAAUACUGCUGUAAAUCCCUGUAGAACCUGUUUUGUCUGCACCACAGUUCUGAAUCUUCAGAUGCAGAUGAAAGCAGCUGCACAAGAAGAUUCGUUUAAUCUGAUCCAGUUUACUAAUAUCUUUCUCUGAACAGGUAAUCUAUGAAAAUAAGCUUUAUUAUGAAGUCAGUCAAGCUUAGCAUUUUUAACUAUUAUAGUGUCUAAUAACUUACAUGAUUGUACAGCUGAUUCUGUGAUUAUAAUAAAACCCAGAGCAAAUAAAGGUGGUGGUGGGGAGGUGUUGUUAUUUUCAUCUCUAAGAAGGAACACAACUAAAUCCAUAACCUGUACUUAGAAACCCACAAAGUCAGCAUUCACUGAUUAACAUGACUAAUCCCAACUCACUUCUUCCUGCCAGUUUCACAACACUGAAAUACAAAACAAGAUUUAGUCUGGCAAAAAGCUGUUUUCUAUCAGUUCCCUACCUCUC